rnacentral:rRNA from 1 species
AGGACGAACGCUUGCGACGUGCCUAAGAAAUGCAAGUCGAACGGGGGAGCAAUCCCUAGUGGCGAACGGUCGCGUAACACGUGGGCAACCUGCCCCAGAGCGGGGGAUAACACUCCGAAAGGAGUGCUAAUACCGCAUGUGGACUUUUCUGGCAUCAGAGAAAGUCUAAAGAUUUAUCACUCUGGGAUGGGCCCGCGGCCUAUCAGCUAGUUGGAGGGUAACGCCCACCAAGGCUUCGACGGGUAGCUGGUCUGAGAGGACGAUCAGCCGGAUUGGGACUGAGAUACGGCCCAGACUCCUACGGGGGGCAGCAAUUAGGAAUCUUGCACAAUGGGCGAAAGCCUGAUGCAGCGACGUCGCGUGGGGGAUGAAAUCUUUCGGGAUGUAAACUCCUUUUAACGGGGAAGAAAAAAUGACGGUACCCGUUGAAUAAGCCCGGCUAACUACGUGCCAGCAGCCGC